UACGGAGGGUGCAAGCGUUAUCCGGAUUUACUGGGUUUAAAGGGUGUGUAGGCGGAUUAUUAAGUCAGCGGUGAAAUCUCCGGGCUCAACCCGGAAACUGCCAUUGAUACUAUUAGUCUUGAAUAUUGUUGAGGUGGGCGGAACGGGUCAUGUAGCGGUGAAAUGCAUAGAUAUGACCCGGAACACCGAUUGCGAAGGCAGCCCACUAAGCAAUGAUUGACGCUGAGGCACGAAAGCGUGGGGAUCAAACAGGG
rnacentral:rRNA from 1 species